rnacentral:rRNA from 1 species
AGAGUUUGAUCCUGGCUCAGGACGAACGCUGGCGGCGUGCCUAAUACAUGCAAGUAGAACGCUGAAGAGAGGAGCUUGCUCUUCUUGGAUGAGUUGCGAACGGGUGAGUAACGCGUAGGUAACCUGCCUGGUAGCGGGGGAUAACUAUUGGAAACGAUAGCUAAUACCGCAUAACAGUAGAUGUUGCAUGACAUUUGCUUAAAAGGUGCAAUUGCAUCACUACCAGAUGGACCUGCGUUGUAUUAGCUAGUUGGUGGGGUAACGGCUCACCAAGGCGACGAUACAUAGCCGACCUGAGAGGGUGAUCGGCCACACUGGGACUGAGACACGGCCCAGACUCCUACGGGAGGCAGCAGUAGGGAAUCUUCGGCAAUGGACGGAAGUCUGACCGAGCAACGCCGCGUGAGUGAAGAAGGUUUUCGGAUCGUAAAGCUCUGUUGUAAGAGAAGAACGAGUGUGAGAGUGGAAAGUUCACACUGUGACGGUAUCUUACCAGAAAGGGACGGCUAACUACGUGCCAGCAGCCGCGGUAAUACGUAGGUCCCGAGCGUUGUCCGGAUUUAUUGGGCGUAAAGCGAGCGCAGGCGGUUAGAUAAGUCUGAAGUUAAAGGCUGUGGCUUAACCAUAGUACGCUUUGGAAACUGUUUAACUUGAGUGCAAGAGGGGAGAGUGGAAUUCCAUGUGUAGCGGUGAAAUGCGUAGAUAUAUGGAGGAACACCGGUGGCGAAAGCGGCUCUCUGGUCUGUAACUGACGCUGAGGCUCGAAAGCGUGGGGAGCGAACAGGAUUAGAUACCCUGGUAGUCCACGCCGUAAACGAUGAGUGCUAGGUGUUGGAUCCUUUCCGGGAUUCAGUGCCGCAGCUAACGCAUUAAGCACUCCGCCUGGGGAGUACGACCGCAAGGUUGAAACUCAAAGGAAUUGACGGGGGCCCGCACAAGCGGUGGAGCAUGUGGUUUAAUUCGAAGCAACGCGAAGAACCUUACCAGGUCUUGACAUCCCUCUGACCGCUCUAGAGAUAGAGUUUUCCUUCGGGACAGAGGUGACAGGUGGUGCAUGGUUGUCGUCAGCUCGUGUCGUGAGAUGUUGGGUUAAGUCCCGCAACGAGCGCAACCC